AGUGAACGCUGGCGGUAGGCCUAACACAUGCAAGUCGAACGGCAGCACAGUAAGAGCUUGCUCUUACGGGUGGCGAGUGGCGGACGGGUGAGGAAUACAUCGGAAUCUACUUUUUCGUGGGGGAUAACGUAGGGAAACUUACGCUAAUACCGCAUACGACCUACGGGUGAAAGCAGGGGAUCUUCGGACCUUGCGCGAUUGAAUGAGUCGAUGUCGGAUUAGCUAGUUGGCGGGGUAAAGGCCCACCAAGGCGACGAUCCGAAGCUGGUCUGAGAGGAUGAUCAGCCACACUGGAACUGAGACACGGUCCAGACUCCUACGGGAGGCAGCAGUGGGGAAUAUUGGACAAUGGGCGAAAGCCUGAUCCAGCCAUACCGCGUGGGUGAAGAAGGCCUUCGGGUUGUAAAGCCCUUUUGUUGGGAAAGAAAAGCAGCAGGUUAAUACCCCGCUGUUCUGACGGUACCCAAAGAAUAAGCACCGGCUAACUUCGUG
rnacentral:rRNA from 1 species